ACAAGAACGAGGACGGUAAAGUCGAGCACCCGUCCUUCGGAAACGUCUCAACGUCUUUCCCGGCGGCCUUCAUUUCGCAUUUAAUCCUGGAACUACCCUCGCGUAUUUCGUAGUGAGCGGAGCGCAAAAUACGCGAAAGACCAAAGACAACGCCCUUAGGUACUUAUAUACGAUGUUGGUGGUAAAGAUGAGACGUAAGAAGCGAGGGGGUUGGGAGUGCUCGAAGGUGGAACGAGGAGAAUGGAGAUGAGUAUGGGGUGGGGGCUGGGUUGGCUAGGUAUGUAUAAGCAGAAGAAAGCGCGGGUCGAUUAAAAGUAGCGAGGGUGUUUCUCCUCUCGUUACCGGAGAGCGAGCAAGCGGCAGCGGGACAGGGAUGGAAGGAUGGAGAAAGACGGAAAAGGAUGAAAGCCGGUCGAAAGUCGAAGAAAGAUGGAUAGACCGGGAGAAGGUUAGCGUAAAGAAAGAAAGAGAGAAAAUGGGUAAGCGAGAAAGGGAGAGAAGUUGGAACGGCGGAAGAAGGUGGGCAGUGGUGUAAGACGAGGAGAGGGAUAAAGCGAGCGAGCGAACGAGCGAGAGAGAGAAAGAGAGAGAGAGAGAGAGAGAGAGAGAGAGAAAGCGAGGAAGAGCAAGGGAGAACAGAGGAGGAAGAAGAAAAGGGCUAUAAAGCAAAUGCGACGAACAGAGACAGGAAUGUAGUUCUGAUCCGGAGGGGUUCGUAAAACGCCGCGCCGCCUACGUUGGAUCGCGAGGGGAGGACAGGGAAGAGAAGACUCAAGAAUCUCAACCUUUAUUUGGAUUUAAGUAAGGAAAAGGGUUGUAAGAUGUGUCGGAUCUGGUGGAUUCGGGGCCAGCCAGGACGAGGAGGAAGGGAAAUUUCACGAUGAGCGUGGCGCAUACGGAAGAAGCUCGAGCAGAGUCACAGCGUACAACGAAAGGACGAAUCGAUAAGACACCAGCGUGCAAACCACGUCCGGAACUGGUCACAUCAAGUUGAACGCUCUGCUGUCCAUAAUUCGCCGCAAUUCAGCGUGAGAGGAACUCGCGGUAGGACCAAGCACCUAAAUGAAGCCGUGUGCUUCUAACGACAUGCACUCCGACGAGCAAGGAAAGACGGGAUUCUGUUGGUAAAAGGGAUGCACCACGUACCGUCUGCGUUGCACUGCCACCGACCUCGAGAAUAUUUACUAAUUCCCGUUGCGUAGCGAGAUAACGUUGGAAGGAGAGCGGAGGAGAAGAAGAGCCGGUUGUCGUAGGACGUCGAGCGGACUAGGAAAGAGAUGGCCAACGGUAGGUCCAGAAAACGGCAGAAGCGGAAGAAAAAGGCAAGGUAACGGAGGAGGACGAGAAAGAGGCAGGACAAUGGUGUAGAGAUAGCGCGCGCGGCAAAGAUGGAGAGAGAGGCAGUGGUGUACGCAAAACGAGAAAGAAUCGCGGUAAGACAUCUGUAGAGAGAAAGAGCGGACAGAGGAAAACACGGGAAAGAGAAACGAGAUAGAACGAUUUUCCCUCUACUCCGGAGAGGCAACGACUACCAAUUCCCUUAUACCCACCAGCCACCAACCCACCACCCUCGAAAAGAGUAUUUAAAGUGACGUCACGCGGUGAGGGACGGGGGAGGUGAGGAAGAAGAGGAAGAAGAGGAAGAAGAGGAGGAUGAGGAGGAUGAGGAGGAUGAGGAGGAGGAGGAUGAGGAGGAGGAGGAGGAAGAAGAAGAAGAGGCGGAGGAGAGUCGAGGGGGAAGGGGUUGUUCGGGCAACAGGAAAGAGAGAAAGAGUAAACUUGCGAAAGAGAAAGGGGGAGGACAGGGAGAUGCUUUAAGACGCUCAAUAUAAAUACUAGAGGGGGUUGAGAAAAAGGGUUGCUUCCCUUCGGGCCGACGACGCCGGCCGAAGCGUGUACGCUCAAGAAGAGCGUGAAAGAAAGACAGCGGAGCAAGGACCAUCCAACAGAGAGGGACGGUGUACAUCGUGGAAGAAGAAAGCGUUUAGCUGGGCGGAGAAAAGAGCGAGAAGCAUCGACGAGAGGAAAAAAGCGGUGCCCCGUGCGAUAUUUUCGGUGGAAGUGUAUGCAUAGUAGCGGAGGUGGAGAAGGACGAGGAGGACGAAGAGAGAAGGAGGAGAGGCAAAAAAAUUCAUGUCAUACUCGAGUGGUUUACUCGAGCCGAAUGCUCGGCGAAUUUUACUGCGCUCUACUGGGCUCUGCCGGGCUCUGCCGGGCUCCGCUUCGCUAGAACAAGGAAGGUCUUGGUUAAAUCCAAAAGCGACUAGCACGCUUCUACUGGCCGCACCAAAGCGAGCGUAUUGCGGCACCAACAGUCAGAAACGCCGCUCUACCAGACUGCACAGAUCGCUGCAUUAAUGCCAUUCUUCCCAGCCUCGUUCACAUUUUUCCUUGCUUCCUUUCUUUCUCCCGUUUUCGUUUUGUUCCCCGUCUCCCGUCUCCCGUCUCCCUUCCUUUUUCUCUCAUCCCCGUGCCCGUGUUCUCCUUAUUUUUUCCCUCGCGAAUCGAACUAACCGUGAUACAAAAAAUUGCACGUAAAUAUCGGCCGCCGGCACGAUAACGAAAGCGCGAUGCGACGACUAAUGUGCUCGACUAAUGAAAAGAUCGGAAGCAGUCGUCGCUGUCGACAUUCUGCACGAUCGCCUUGAUUUUCAGGAUUAUGGAUGAGGCAUGCUGUUCAUCGACUAAACGAUCGUCUUUGUGCUCGUCUCAUCGUCGUUUCAUCGGACGACACGAUUCGAUUUCUAGAAAUAACCUAUCGUUUGUAAAAAUCUUGUUAUCGAGGUAAUCGGUGGCAAAGGCAAACGAUAUAGCGCGCUAAUGAGUCAACGAUUUGAUUACACUGGCAUAAAUACAUUUGUUUAUCGGAGAAAAAUAAACGAUAUCUUGUUCGAACAACGUUACAAUACAUCUCCUCGUUAUACGACGCAUUCGCUACGUUUCUUGUCCUUAUUCGCAUAUAACAUAU